AAGAAAGAAAGAAAGAAAGAAAGAAGAAAAGAGACUGAAGGGACUCCUGAGAGCAGAGGGCGUGCUUGCAGUGAGAAGGAUGACAAGGCCAGGAUCCCGGUCCCUGUCUGCCCUGUCCCUCUAGUCUAGGCCUGGAUCUCUGCAAGCGAAGGAUUCUUUCCUGAAAUCACACCCUGAAUUGCAGUGAGUAAGCUCCAGUCUGGCAGGGGAAAGGCGGGGACGAGGGCCAGGCGCAGGGCUACGGUAGGGAAGCUCCAGGUGGGAGCUAGCGCCCCUGACCUUGAAUGGCCCGAGGCCCAGAAUUCUUACCACGCCCCCGGCGUCCGCGGAGCAGCAGUCAACCUGACUGUACCUGCUCCCCGGCCGGUGCGGGGGGGAGGGGAGGCCGGCGGGCUGGCACAGUGCUGAGGAAGACACGAGGUCCCUGCGUAGGGAGAGCCGAGGUUGCCACCGCAGGCCUGGCAUGGCCGGGGCCUUGAUGCCCCGCCCGGCCGGCCCCCGCGCGCGCAGGUACCUGGAGACGAUUUCAACUGAAGUAAUGAAGGCAGUGUCGUGCUGUCGAGAGAAAGGUGGAUCCCAACAACAGGAAACUACCUAAAUCACCGACCAGUUCUGGUGCUGCCCGCGCAGGGCUGCCUCGCCCGCCGCCGCCGCCGCCGCCGCCGCUGCUACUGCUGCCGCCACGGUCGCCGCCAAGGAGAGAACCCCGCGAUCGUGCCUGGCCUGGCCCCUGGCAACCUGCGCCCGCCGCUGCCCCCAUGGGCUUGGGACGCCACAAGCCCGUCGGGAAGGGAGAGGCCCUGGGUCCAGGGAAGCCGAAGUCAAGCCCUAGUGCCAACCUGCAUAUCCAUGCCUGCAUGCCCUUCUCUACGCCAAGGAAGAAAGGAAGAAAGAAAAAAAAGAAACCCAGAGGCCUGUAUCCCCUGAUUAAACACAGCCCAGCACUCCAGGCAGGCAUGCCUGGUGGCGGCUUCUUGCACCAUUGACCUCAGGCCAGACACCUCUGCACCGACAAUGGGAUCUCGGCCUUCCCAAUAGGUCUGCCCAGAGCCGGGUCGGGCAGGAAACCAGCUCUGUAGAGGAACACAGGGGACAUUUCAAGCAAUGGGACCCAGAAACAGCAAACCCAGUCCAUUCAGGACCUGACAGUACAAUAUCUACCUCUAUAGAAUUUUAGCGCGAUAUGGCUUUUUCCCCCAGAAAACAAGUAAACCAGCACCAAGCAAACAAAGAAACAAAAAGUCAGAACAAACCAGCCCUGCACAGAUGUAACUGCCCCGGAGAGGCGAGUGUGGGAGGGAGGAAUAGGGGUCCGGCACAGGUGCGAGUUCGGGACAGAGGCUGAAGACAGAGGGAGGGGACCGGCUCUCUGAAGGCGGAAAAAACGGCAUCGCCUGGAGCUUCAUCAGGAAAAAUUAAAGUUGGCUGUGAGCUCUCGGA